AUUUAUGAAAGUCAUACUUCUGUUUCCUCUCUUUUUACGUUAACCUCCACGAAGAUGAAAUGACUCGUGAGACUCCGUCACCUCGGAGAGGAGAGUCCCGCCAAGCAGCUGUCUGGAGAAAAGGGUUGCCUUUGGAGGAGGAGGAGGAGGAGGGGGGGGGGGGGGUUCGUCAGGUUCUUGGGUUUAGUCCCGGUCAUAGAGAGGGAGAAGGAACAGCAGGAGAACGUGUGUGUGUGUGUGGCAGCAAACAGGUUGCCAAAUAUGGCGAAGAGAGACGAGCAUCCAAAAGACUACAUCCUCUGGUUUCACUACUGCACCACGCUCACCCUGAAUUCCCGCCAUGUCCUCCUCCUCCUCCUCCUCCUCCUCCUCCUCCUCCUCCUCUUCCCCCUCCUCCUCCUGGCUUGUUCCUGAGGUUCCUAGAAUCUUCUCCAGUUCCAGCUCAAAGGAACGUCCGGAAUGUCCGGAACGUCAGGAACGCCGGCGAGCUGCCAACGUCGGGCGUCCCUGGCGUCUCGUAGCUCCUCCUCUCGUUCUUCCUCUCCGCUGCCAGACGCUCUCUCUGCUCUCUGAUUGGUCCUCGGCCCGACAAUAGGAUCCGUGUGACCGAGCGGCCGAGGCGUACGGGAGUCCGGCCGGCGACUCGGCCGCAAAGACUCUCUGCGCCGCUCGGCCGAGACGACGCCAACGCGUGACAGCUGCGGAAGCUUUUCAAUAAAAAGGGUUCCAGAUAGAUUUGGACCAACGGCCAAGAACCGGUUGACCCGGAGAGGUCAGUCCGAGGUCAACGGGUUUCAUAUCUGAGCCACUGAGAGAUGUUCCGGUUUCUUUGUAGCUACACUACCCUUCAAAAGUUUGGGGUCACGUAGAAAUGUCCUUAUUUUUUUAUAAGUCUCUGCUUCAUGUGUUAAAGCUGUAUUCUCUCUCAUGACCACCAGGGGGCGACUCCUCUGGUUGUAUAGAAGUCUAUGCUUUGUGAGUUAAAGCUGCAUUCCCUCUCCUGACCACCAGGGGGCGACUCCUCUGGUUGUAUAGAAGUCUACGCUUCAUGUGUUAAAGCUGCAUUCCCUCUCCUGACCACCAGGGGGCGACUCCUCUGAUUGUAUAGAAGUAUAUGCUUCAUGUGUUAAAGCUGCAUUCUCUCUCCUGACCACCAGGGGGCGACUCCUCUGGUUGUAUAGAAGUCUAUAUAAAAGACUUCUCUCUUGAUUUAUUCCCUCAGUAAACAUUGUAAACAUGA